rnacentral:misc_RNA from 1 species
AGAAUCUUCCUUGUGAUGUUUCUAAGUUGGCAUCUUUUGAAAAGCUUAUUCUUUCUGGCUGCACAAGAAUCACUAGGUUUCCAGAGGUUUCGAGUAAUAUAAAGAAGUCGCUUUUAGAUGGGACAAAGAUCGAAGAAAUUCCCUCAUCAAUAGAGUAUUGAUUUGAACUUGAGGAACUAGGCCUGCAAAACUGCACAAGAUUUCAUAUUCUUCCGAGUAGUUUUUGUAAGUUGGAAUAUUUGCGAAGGCUUAAUCUCUCAGGCUGCUCCAGAUUUGAGAGUUUCCAGAAAUUUCGUGUGACAGGGAUUCAUUGAGAUUUCUUCACUUAGAUGGAACAGCGAUAAGAAAGGUGCCCUCACCAAUGAAAAUUUUGAGUGGUCUUUCUAUCUUGCAACUGAGAAACUGCAAAAAACUUAAAUUGAGUGGUGUCUCUAUCUGGGAAAAACUUGGUGUCUCUACUUGGGAAAGACUUUUUCCAUUGUCAAUGGCCAUCGCAGAAUUCCAGUGGAGAGAUUUGAGGUUCUUGCGUAAGCUAUAUCUAAAUGAUUGCAGCAUAUUGAAUGUGCCUAAUGCUAUUGGCUUCUUAUUCUCACUAGAAGCAUUAGAUCUAAGUGGAAACUUAUUUUCAGAGAUACCUCAAAACAUCCUUCAGCUCGAAAAGCUGGAGUACCUCGGCUUAAGAGAUUGCC